rnacentral:rRNA from 1 species
UACAGAGGUCUCAAGCGUUGUUCGGAUUCAUUGGGCGUAAAGGGUGCGUAGGCGGCGCGGUAAGUCGGGUGUGAAAUCUCGGGGCUUAACUCCGAAACUGCAUUCGAUACUGCCGUGCUUGAGGACUGGAGAGGAGACUGGAAUUUACGGUGUAGCGGUGAAAUGCGUAGAUAUCGUAAGGAAGACCAGUGGCGAAGGCGGGUCUCUGGACAGUUCCUGACGCUGAGGCGCGAAAGCGUGGGUAGCAAACAGG